rnacentral:rRNA from 1 species
AUGUUAAUCAGGGUAGGGUAAGUCGACCCCUAAGGCGAGGCCGAAAGGCGUAGUCGAUGGGAAACAGAUUAAUAUUUCUGUACUCGAUAUAAUUGCGAUGGGGGGACGGAGCAGGCUAAGCAAGCAUGGCGUUGGUAGUCCAUGUGAAAGUGAGUAGGGCGUUUGUUUAGGUAAAUCCGGACGAACACUAAACCUGAGACACGAGACGAGUCAC